rnacentral:rRNA from 1 species
ACUCCUACGGGAGGCAGCAGUGAGGAAUAUUGGACAAUGGGUGGAAGCCUGAUCCAGCCAUCCCGCGUGCAGGAAGACGGCCCUAUGGGUUGUAAACUGCUUUUAUCUGGGGAUAAACCUACUUACGUGUAAGUAGCUGAAGGUACCAGAAGAAUAAGCACCGGCUAACUCCGUGCCAGCAGCCGCGGUAAUACGGAGGGUGCAAGCGUUAUCCGGAUUUAUUGGGUUUAAAGGGUCCGUAGGCGGACUGAUAAGUCAGUGGUGAAAUCCGACAGCUUAACUGUCGAACUGCCAUUGAUACUGUUAGUCUUGAGUAAGGUUGAAGUGGCUGGAAUAAGUAGUGUAGCGGUGAAAUGCAUAGAUAUUACUUAGAACACCAAUUGCGAAGGCAGGUCACUAAGUCUUAACUGACGCUGAUGGACGAAAGCGUGGGGAGCGAACAGGAUUAGAAACCCGGGUAGUCCCA